GCCAGGAUAAGAACGAACAUUGUAAAUCCUGGGCAUCGAGCGGUGAAUGCCAAAAAAAUCCAGGGUACAUGUUGUUCAAUUGCCCUGAAAGUUGCAAAGUCUGUCCAGAAUCGAAGUGAAACACAUCUGACCUGUCUUCCUCCGGAUCAGAUGGAAAAGAUUUGAGGAAGUAGUCUUAUUUUGCCAGCAUAAUCUGGGUUGGGUGAAGGAAAAUGCUGGAUUGCUAAUGUAAGGGUUUUUUUUUUCGCUGUGCUUAAUGUAGAAUUUCAAGCCUCGUUAUCUGGAAAAUAAAACAAAUGAUUAACUCAAA